rnacentral:rRNA from 1 species
GAACGCUGGCGGCAAGCCUAACACAUGCAAGUCGAACGGWCAAUUAUUUAUAGCCUCUGGCUAUAGGAAAUUGUUAGUGGCASACGGGUGAGUAAUGCGUAGGAAUCUACCUAGUAGUACGGAAUAGCCAUUAGAAAUGGUGGGUAAUMCUGUAUAAUCCCCGAGGGGGAAAGAUUUAUCGCUAUUAGAUGAGCCUACGUUAGAUUAGCUAGUUGGUGAGGUAAUGGCUUACCAAGGCUAUGAUCUAUAGCUGGUCUGAGAGGACGAUCAGCCACACUGGAACUGAGAUACGGUCCAGACUCCUACGGGAGGCAGGCAGUGGGGAAUAUUGGACAAUGGGCGAAAGCCUGAUCCAGCUAUGCCGCGUGAGUGAAGAAGGCCUUCCGGGUU